rnacentral:scRNA from 1 species
CCGAGGCACCUCGGUUAAAGCGAGGGUCUAUGAGGUACGCCUCUGCUCCAGAC